CCUCGCUCGCUCUGCGCGGGAGCUGCGGGCGGUCACCGACUAGGCCGGCGCCUGCCGCGGCGGCUUCCCCGCGGGAACUCGGCGAAGUGGAGCGGCCCAGGGCUCCGCGCUCCUCGCGGGCGGAGCUGCGGCUGCUUGGGCUGAGGAGCGGAUCUCCUCUCAGAUCUGGAUUUCUUCUCUGUCCCUUCGACGGUCUGGACUCCUUCUCCAGAGCCAUUUACUUAACCUGGUGGAUCAGCUGCCUCGCACCGUCCCAGGCUGCGUCUCCCAGAUCUCCUGGGUGUCAACCAGCCCCUCGGACUCCUAGCGGCAGCGCGAGGACUGGGAAGCCACGGAAGCCCACCCUCCUCGAUUUCAGAAGAAAGCAGGGACAGGGGUAACCUGCCCAAGAACCCGGGAGCUGUGCCAGACUCCCAGCGCGUGGGGUUCCCAACUUCUUGGCUGUCCAAGGAGCCCCCAUGGUGCCAGGGGAGUCUGGUGACUUCAGCUCCACGCUUACCAGACCUGUUUCAGCUUGACCCCUUCCUCUCCAAGGGUUAAAACGUUCGGAAGGCCCACCCCACACACACCACCACCACCACAACCACCAUCCUCUGCAGCUGCGACCAGAGAAUUAAAGUUAGAAGGACGUUGGUCAAACUGGUCUCCAUCCUGGGAAUCCCUGGGCAAUUGGAGAGCAUGAUUCAGAUAGCCCCCGGCAGACCACCGCCUGGACUCUGUUGACAGGGAAUGGAACUUGGGUCAUCGGACUUGGCAGCAAGGGGCAGCCCCUUUUCUCCUCUUUGAUCACGCUGAGGCCCAGAGGAGAGAAGGGCUUCUUUAAAGUCACACAAGGAAAGAUGGUUGAAUUCCAUCUUCAAUCCUGUGCCCAAGAUCCCAUCAGUGGAGGAUAUUUGGGACAAAGAAAAAGAAGAAGAGGAAGUGGAAGAGGAAGAAGGGGAGGAGAAGAAUGUAGACCACCAAGAACAAGAGAAAGAAGAAAACAGGAUCAAGACCCUUUUCGGAGUCCCCAAGAAGGACCCAGUGUGGAGCUUCAUGUCUUGGCCCAGGCCCUUCCCAGAGCAAGUCCGGUGGUGGGAAGACUUCUCCCUGCCCCCACUGCGAGGACCCUGCCUCUGCAGGUGCAAACUGGGCACGAAGAUGAGGCUCCGCCCCCUACCCUCCCUGACCUCCUGCUCCACCCCUAAACCCUUUCCCUCAGUGGCAUCCAGAGAAGAGCCUAGCUGGCUAAGAAACCAGCCUGUGAUGCAGCCUCCACCAAUGUACAGACUGAAGACCCCUAAGACAGUGCCCAAACUUCCUCCCAAGGUCUCCCCUAAGAGACCCACUGCCCCCAAGGCCGGGCAACAGCAGACCGCAGUGUCAACGUGGCCUCCAAUAACUAUGAGCCCCAUUUCAAAGAGCUCUGCUCUUAAGGGACAGCAUAAACCCUCUGCCACAGAGGCCUCUCAUACCCCAGGUGCCUGGGGCAAUCCCUUGCCUCACCUUUCUUCGAAAUAAAUAUUUUUGUUACACCGGCAA